UACAUUUUAGUAUACGAUGUACCUAAAUUUUUGAUAUUUAAGGGGACAGUUUGAGCCUGUCAAAUGUAA
rnacentral:tRNA from 1 species